UGACUGUGGUGUUUGUAUGUGUAUACAUCCACAUGUAUACAUAUAAGCCUGCAUACAUGCACACAUAACACACAUACAUGCACA
rnacentral:miRNA from 14 species